UCCGUGAGGCUCCACACCUUUUCCUGAAGCUCCAUCCCGUUUCAUGAAGCACAGCACCCUUUUGGAGGAAGUGCAGGCGCCUUAGGAGCCUGAAGUGUCCCGCAUCACUGACCUACAAGGUUUGGAGUACGAAAGAGAAGCAGCACAGCCAGGCCACAUCCAACACUGCCAAGUGAUGCAGAUGGUGGGAAUGCAGGUUCUUCUUCUGCAAACCCCCCUCCACUAAGGCGCCCAUCACAGGGCUCGGUGACCGUGCCUAGGAGGCCAACCAAGAGACGCCGUCUUGAGGCUGAAUCAGCAGCACCAUCAUCACCACUCCAACGGCGCAUCUCCGCAGUGUUGUCCCUGCCACCACAAGCAAUUUUGGCCAGUCCACAAAGCGAGGAUCCACAAUCACCUCAGCUGUCUGAACCACCCAUCAUCACGAGGACGCCCAGCAGGAAAGUGACCAGCAGGAUACCUACACACUACACCUGCAGCCCAUCGAUCCUACCCAGCCAACCACGCCGCAGGACAUAACCCAAUCACCCCAAACAUCCCACAGCCCCCAAUUGAGGCCAACACCACCCCAGCAACAAAUGGCCCCAGAGUUUUGAAACAUUUGGGCCACACAACAGGCAAAACACUAUGCCUGCCAGAACACCCACACCCAAUACCUUGCCAGUCUGCCCCAUCAUCUGCCUCGCCUCAGUCGGAACUCAGGCAGACUGAUAGUUCAGGUUGGCAGAAUUGCCAAUUCAAUGGAGCAGAUGAGGGCAGACAACAGUCAAAUGCAAGCCAAUUUACUCCGAAUCAUGGAUGAACAACAGCGGCAGCAACAAGCCCUCAUACAAAUUAUCCAACACAACCAACUGAUAAACGAAAACCUCUCCCGAAUUAUUGCCAACAACACUGCCGCAAAUACACAACUGACUGCAAGCAUACACAACCUGAGCCAAAGCAUUAAUGUGUUGGCAUCCCAACAAAUAAGCUCAAGCUCGGGAACAACCACACCAAGCCAGACCACAGUUACCUCCCCUGUUAGAUGCUCCAGCAGAACACGGACCAACGAACCAGGCCAAUCCUCUGCACCCAGCACACACAAAAAAAAAAAAGAAGGCUGCAGCAAAUCGUUGUUUACCAA